UCUAUAUCAGAUCAUCUCUGAUGGCUGUGUGCCUUGCCACGUGGCAAGGCCAAUGGGGGCAAACGGAGGGGGCACCAAAAGGGCAUCCCAUUUUCCAAUUCAAAUGGUCACUAAACCUCUGAAAACCCUGAAAUAUCAAAAUCCCCAUAUCCUUUGAUCUUCUCUCUUCAACUUGUAUCGACCCGUAAGCCACAUAUGGGAACCAGGGGAGUUAUUAGUGAUAGGUGGUCUAUGAGGAUUCUGUGGCUCUGUGCAAUCGGAAGUGCAGUGGGCCUAUAUAUGGUUGCUGUAGAAAGACAAACACAGAACAGGAACCGGAUGUUGGCUGAGAAUUUGAAGGCAAUGGAGGGUGAAGGCAGCGACGAGCAUGCUUAAAUACAGGCAUGUAACAUGAUAGAAAGUUUGUAAAAUCUUUUUAAAGUUCUUUCCCAGGUUUCCAGAUUGGGCCAUCUGUUUAUGCACAAUGUUUCUUCUUUCCCCCUUCCCCCUCUCAUGACAUCAAAUUUUCCAAACUGGUCGGCAGGCCUCUCUUUGAUAAUUAUUUACUUUCUUUUUAAGUUUAGACCAUAAAUUUAUCCCA